rnacentral:rRNA from 2 species
GAGUUUGAUCCUGGCUCAGAUUGAACGCUGGCGGCAGGCCUAACACAUGCAAGUCGAGCGGAUGACGGGAGCUUGCUCCUUGAUUCAGCGGCGGACGGGUGAGUAAUGCCUAGGAAUCUGCCUGGUAGUGGGGGACAACGUUUCGAAAGGAACGCUAAUACCGCAUACGUCCUACGGGAGAAAGCAGGGGACCUUCGGGCCUUGCGCUAUCAGAUGAGCCUAGGUCGGAUUAGCUAGUUGGUGGGGUAAUGGCUCACCAAGGCGACGAUCCGUAACUGGUCUGAGAGGAUGAUCAGUCACACUGGAACUGAGACACGGUCCAGACUCCUACGGGAGGCAGCAGUGGGGAAUAUUGGACAAUGGGCGAAAGCCUGAUCCAGCCAUGCCGCGUGUGUGAAGAAGGUCUUCGGAUUGUAAAGCACUUUAAGUUGGGAGAAGGGCAGUAAGUUAAUACCUUGCUGUUUUGACGUUACCGACAGAAUAAGCACCGGCUAACUCUGUGCCAGCCGCCG